ACUCCUACGGGAGGCAGCAGUGGGGAAUAUUGGACAAUGGGCGCAAGCCUGAUCCAGCCAUACCGCGUGGGUGAAGAAGGCCUUCGGGUUGUAAAGCCCUUUUGUUGGGAAAGAAAUCCAGCUGGCUAAUACCCGGUUGGGAUGACGGUACCCAAAGAAUAAGCACCGGCUAACUUCGUGCCAGCAGCCGCGGUAAUACGAAGGGUGCAAGCGUUACUCGGAAUUACUGGGCGUAAAGCGUGCGUAGGUGGUCGUUUAAGUCCGUUGUGAAAGCCCUGGGCUCAACCUGGGAACUGCAGUGGAUACUGGGCGACUAGAAUGUGGUAGAGGGUAGCGGAAUUCCUGGUGUAGCAGUGAAAUGCGUAGAGAUCAGGAGGAACAUCCAUGGCGAAGGCAGCUACCUGGACCAACAUUGACACUGAGGCACGAAAGCGUGGGGAGCAAACAGGAUUAGAUACCCUGGUAGUCCACGCCCUAAACGAUGCGAACUGGAUGUUGGGUGCAAUUUGGCACGCAGUAU
rnacentral:rRNA from 1 species